GUUGCCGUAGAUGGUGCUGGCAUCGAGCGCGGACGAGGCGCGGCCGGCGUAGGCGGUGCCGGCGCCGCUGGCGCUCUGUUCGUUGAUGGCGAUGCC
rnacentral:tRNA from 9 species